rnacentral:rRNA from 1 species
AGUUUGAUCCUGGCUCAGGAUGAACGCUAGCUACAGGCUUAACACAUGCAAGUCGAGGGGCAGCAUCAUCAAAGCUUGCUUUGAUGGAUGGCGACCGGCGCACGGGUGAGUAACACGUAUCCAACCUGCCGACAACACUGGGAUAGCCUUUCGAAAGAAAGAUUAAUACCGGAUGGCAUAGUUUUCCCGCAUGGGAUAAUUAUUAAAGAAUUUCGGUUGUCGAUGGGGAUGCGUUCCAUUAGGCAGUUGGCGGGGUAACGGCCCACCAAACCAACGAUGGAUAGGGGUUCUGAGAGGAAGGUCCCCCACAUUGGAACUGAGACACGGUCCAAACUCCUACGGGAGGCAGCAGUGAGGAAUAUUGGUCAAUGGACGAGAGUCUGAACCAGCCAAGUAGCGUGAAGGAUGACUGCCCUAUGGGUUGUAAACUUCUUUUAUACGGGAAUAAAGUGAGCCACGUGUGGCUUUUUGUAUGUACCGUAUGAAUAAGGAUCGGCUAACUCCGUGCCAGCAGCCGCGGUAAUACGGAGGAUCCGAGCGUUAUCCGGAUUUAUUGGGUUUAAAGGGAGCGUAGGCGGGUUGUUAAGUCAGUUGUGAAAGUUUGCGGCUCAACCGUAAAAUUGCAGUUGAUACUGGCGACCUUGAGUGCAACAGAGGUAGGCGGAAUUCGUGGUGUAGCGGUGAAAUGCUUAGAUAUCACGAAGAACUCCGAUUGCGAAGGCAGCUUACUGGAUUGUAACUGACGCUGAUGCUCGAAAGUGUGGGUAUCAAACAGGAUUAGAUACCCUGGUAGUCCACACAGUAAACGAUGAAUACUCGCUGUUGGCGAUAUACUGUCAGCGGCCAAGCGAAAGCAUUAAGUAUUCCACCUGGGGAGUACGCCGGCAACGGUGAAACUCAAAGGAAUUGACGGGGGCCCGCACAAGCGGAGGAACAUGUGGUUUAAUUCGAUGAUACGCGAGGAACCUUACCCGGGCUUAAAUUGCAACUGACGGAACCGGAAACGGUUCUUUCUUCGGACAGUUGUGAAGGUGCUGCAUGGUUGUCGUCAGCUCGUGCCGUGAGGUGUCGGCUUAAGUGCCAUAACGAGCGCAACCCUUACGGGUAGUUACCAUCAGGUUAUGCUGGGGACUCUACCCGGACUGCCGUCGUAAGAUGUGAGGAAGGUGGA